rfam:Ovis aries breed Texel chromosome 14, whole genome shotgun sequence.
CCUGGUGGCUCAGAUGGUAAAGCAUCUGCCUACAAUGCAGGAGACCCGGGUUCAAUCCCUGGGUCAGGA